GAUGAACGCUGGCGGCGUGCCUAACACAUGCAAGUCGAGCGGCAGCGAGGGGUGCUUGCACCCUGUCGGCGAGCGGCGGACGGCUGAGUAACGCGUGGGAACGUGCCCCAAAGUGAGGAAUAACUGCCCGAAAGGGUAGCUAAUACCGCAUAUUAUCUUCGGUUCAAAGGAUUUAUCCGCUUUGGGAGCGGCUCGCGUCGGAUUAGGUAGUUGGUGAGGUAAUGGCUCACCAAGCCGACGAUCCGUAGCUGGUCUGAGAGGAUGACCAGCCAGACUGGAACUGAGACACGGUCCAGACUCCUACGGGAGGCAGCAGUGAGGAAUCUUCCACAAUGGGCGAAAGCCUGAUGGAGCAACGCCGCGUGCAGGACGAAGGCCUUCGGGUUGUAAACUGCUUUUAUAAGUGAGGAAUAUGACGGUAACUUAUGAAUAAGGAUCGGCUAACUACGUG
rnacentral:rRNA from 1 species